GUGGGGAAUCUUGCGCAAUGGGCGAAAGCCUGACGCAGCCAUGCCGCGUGAAUGAUGAAGGUCUUAGGAUUGUAAAAUUCUUUCACCGGGGACGAUAAUGACGGUACCCGGAGAAGAAGCCCCGGCUAACUUCGUGCCAGCAGCCGCGGUAAUACGUAGGGGGCGAGCGUUGUCCGGAAUUACUGGGCGUAAAGGGUGCGUAGGUGGCCUUUUAAGUUGGAUGUGAAAUACCCGGGCUUAACUUGAAUCAGGUUAGAGUUGGCGGAAUGGGUCAUGUAGCGGUGAAAUGCUUAGAUAUGACUUGGAACACCGAUAGCGAAGGCAGCUGACUGAGCCUUGAUUGACGCUGAGGUACGAAAGUGUGGGUAGCGAACAGGAUUAGAAACCCUAGUAGUCC
rnacentral:rRNA from 1 species